GCCAGGCAUCCUCAGGUUCUCGGGCAGUGACCCCAGGCUGAGCCUAGCUGCCACAUGCCCUGUGCUCAGCCAGGAGCCAUGCUUGUUCGGGGGGCUCCAGUCCCUUCGCACACUGCCCUCUCAGCUGGCCAUGAAGCCCACCACAGCCAGUCAGCCUCGUGGCCUUCCACUUGUCUUCUCUGUAGGGUAGCCCUGUCUCCCCGGUGGGCUCUUCUCAGAUGCCGUGACCCCUUCCUCCCCAAACACCCGCUGAUAGUAUCUCCCUGUCACUCUCUAGGCUUUGAUCUCUCUCUCUCUCUCUCUUUUUUUUUUCUGUAGCAUUUGCCGCUAUCUGUACUCUGUGGCAAUGUCCCCCUCUCCUGACUGCCUGUGACUUAAAUCUGGGCUCUAUGGCCCAGAAGGACAGAUGGGGCGAGGCAGUGGCUUUUGGACAGUCAAAAGAACUCCUCUUCAGUUAUGCAGACUUGGUUCAAAGGUACCAUGGGGAAAGGUCCCAGAAACAGUGGGAAGACCAGGUAUUCAAGCUGUCCUUUCUCAGAUCCUAGAUCUUAUAGGCGUAGGACGGCCUGACAGUGGUGGUGGUAUUAAGGACACAGAAGCAACCAGGGUGGCCUGGAAGUGGAGACUGCGCAAGCGGGUUUUGUAUUCCGGAACCGACAGCAUCUGUCACGAAGUCAACGCCAGGAUUGCACCCAUCCCACCAGGGGCCCCACCUCCCCACCGCAGCCUGGGGUGGGGGUCAGCUGGCUGCCCGGCAUUCCCCUCAAGAAAAAUAAGCACAAUCCCAAAAUGAGCACACAAAAAUAAGCACAAUCCCAUCUACCUUGAACCCCGGGUGGGAACUGGCCAUUAAAGGUGUAAAACUGGGACUCAGAGGCGCGAGCGCAGUGGCGGUAGGGGAGCGGGACCCACGCAGCCCCGGUCACAGCGUGAGCCCCGAUGGAGGCGGCCAAGGCCGCCGGGCAGCACCCCCCGACCCCGGGCGGCGGUCACGGCCGCAGCACCUG